rnacentral:rRNA from 1 species
CCAAGGAGUCUAACAUGUGCGCGAGUCAUCGGGUCUUGUUUAGGCCCGUAGGCGGAAUGAAAGUGAAGGGCGAUUCAGUCGUCUGCGUUGGGAUUUUGAUCAUUCGUGGUCAAAAGCACCAACGGCCCGUCCCGAUCGCCGCGUCGAUGGGGCGGAGCGAGAGCGUACACGUUGGGACCCGAAAGAUGGUGAACUAUGCCUGGGCAGGACGAAGCCAGAGGAAACUCUGGUGGAGGUCCGCAGCGAUUCUGACGUGCAAAUCGAUCGUCAGACCUGGGUAUAGGGGCGAAAGACUAAUCGAACCAUCUA